GGGGGGGGGGGAGAAAGGGAAAAACGAGAUAUGCGAUUCGGAAUCAGAAGAGGAAAUUAGGGAUUCAGACACCAACGAAGCUGGAAAGAAGCAACCAGUUCUUGAGACAAGUGAUGGCGAGGGGAAAAAUAAAAAGAGAGAUAAGAUGAGGAAGAAGAAGAGUGAUGAUUUCAACAAUUUUUUAUGGUUCCAUGAACAAGACAUAGAUGGAAUUAGGCAAGAAGAGAAUAAUUUGAUCAACUUCGUGCAGAAAACCAGAGACUCUUGCGAAGUAUGUGAUACUCUCCAAACUUUCCACGUUCGUUGCAACGUUUUGCAAGGAACUAACAAUUGCGUUUGGCUUGGUGUUGUUGGGCCGACGGGAGCAGACUCCGUGUAUUGACGACAUACGGCAUUGUCCUGUUUGCAACAGGAGCUUCUUUUAUCCCGGAUUGCAUAUACAUCAGCGAGAGACGCCGACUUGCAACAGGAGUGAGACCAUAUGCAAUGGGGCAGAUCUUGGUUUUCUAUAUAAUGGCCGUGAGAAAAGUUUUUUGGUCGUUUUCAAUCGUAUGAGACUUCUUGCCUUAGUGACUGCGUGAACACUGGUUUCCUCGCAGGUCACAGGCGUAUAAGGAUAAGAAGAAGACAAAAGGAUAGAAGAAUCACUAAGAGACAUAUCAAAUCGAUGAGAUUAAGAAGAAUUAGAGAAGAAGAAUCUGGAAACCUUGAUCUUAUGUAGUUUUUUGGUGUCUUAUACUAAGCAUUUUCAUUUUUCCUUUUUUAAGUAACCACCAAUUUGGUUUCUCCAUUAUAAUCUUCAUUUGGUAAUAUAUAAAUUGGAAAUUUAUAAUAAAUUUUGUGAUAACAAUUGACAAAUUUUCGCAGCAAUUUUAU